UACGGAGGGUGCGAGCGUUAAUCGGAAUUACUGGGCGUAAAGCGUGCGUAGGCGGCUUGAUAAGCCGGUUGUGAAAGCCCCGGGCUCAACCUGGGAACGGCAUCCGGAACUGUCAGGCUAGAGUGCAGGAGAGGAAGGUAGAAUUCCCGGUGUAGCGGUGAAAUGCGUAGAGAUCGGGAGGAAUACCAGUGGCGAAGGAGGCGUUCUGGACUGACACUGCCGCUGAGGUACGAAAGCGUGGGUAGCAAAAAGG
rnacentral:misc_RNA from 1 species